UACGGAGGGGGCGAGCGUUAUUCGGAAUUAUUGGGCGUAAAGGGCGCGUAGGCGGCUGUACAAGUCAAAGGUGAAAUCCCUCGGCUCAACUGAGGAACUGCCUUUGAAACUGUACGGCUUGAGGCCGGGAGGGGGUAGCGGAAUUCCCAGUGUAGCGGUGAAAUGCGUAGAUAUCUGGAGGAACACCGGUGGCGAAGGCGGCAUCCUGGACCGACACUGACGCUGAGGAGCGAAAGCCAGGGGAGCAAACGGG
rnacentral:rRNA from 1 species